UUUACCAUGUCCUCUGUGUGGUUUUGUUUGGGUGCAAUUACUGAACCACGGACCAAUACAAAUGUCAAGGUUGCUGUGUAGUUAAUGAAUUCAUAAAAGUCAAAAACUCAUCUUCUCCGUAUCCAAGUUUGUCUCAAUACAUAUAGUAAAGUUACCCAAAAGGACAAAACCAUAAUAAUGUUUUCAUUCUCCAAACAACCUACUUCUCAAGAACAUGGAUCGAUAUUCUUUCAGGUUCUCUUUCUUCAUCCAGGACCAAAUCCACCUUGCCCGAGUUUGUUUCCGGGAGAGAAGUUAUCGGUUGCCGCAGCUAACACUUUAAACUCAAAAAGAGGAAGAUCUUUGAGCUUGACUUGGUUAGAAGCAGACUCAUUGCCACUUGUAAGUUCUUCCAUUCUUUUAUACAUUAGCUCUGCACUUGUAUCUUUCUCUGGUGCUGCUAAGCCAAAUGAUAAACGAAGAAAAUAAAAUUAUGAUUCAAGAAACUA